rnacentral:rRNA from 1 species
UUAACGAACGAGAUCUUACCUUGCUAAAUAGUUACGUGUAACUUCGUUUACGCGGGCAGCUUCUUAGAGGGACUUUGUGUGUAUAACGCAAGGAAGUUUGAGGCAAUAACAGGUCUGUGAUGCCCUUAGAUGUUCUGGGCUGCACGCGCGCUACACUGAUGUGCUCAACGAGUUUAUGACCUUGCCCGGAAGGGUUGGGUAAUCUGUGUUAAAUCACAUCGUGAUGGGGAUCGAUUAUUGCAAUUAUUAAUCUUCAACGAGGAAUUCCUAGUAAGCGCGAGUCAUCAGCUCGUGCUGAUUACGUCCCUGCCCUUUGUACACACCGCCCGUCGCUCCUACCGAUUGAGUGUUCCGGUGAAUAAUUCGGACUGCGUUAACGCUCAGUUCCUGAACGUUGAUGUGGAAAGUCUGGUGAACCUUAACACUUAGAGGAAGGAGAAGU